UAUGCCGUGGGGGUGGGCUUUGCAGACUCUCACAUGCUCAAGCCCCGCCCAGUGUCCUGCAGCCUUCUGAUGAAGAUGUCCGAUGAAGAUGUAGCCCGGGGCACCGUGUCUGCUUGCCCACGGCCAUGAUGAUAAUGGACUGAACCUCUGAACUGUCUUACACAGACAAGGUGGGGCUCAAACUUGCUCUGUAACUGAAGAUGACACUUAUCUUCUCAUCUGCCUGCCUCAUCUCCCGAGAGCUGGGAUUACAGGGGUCGGUGCUAUCUAUAUCCGCCGCAGGACCCGGGUGCGAGUGGGGGCCCUACAGAGUGGAGGCGGGCAGGAGCGGGGAAUGCGGUCAGGGACAGUGCCCACGUCCUUGGUGGUGGGGCUGGGAGCGGCAUGUGAGUUGGCACUGCAGGAGAUGGAGGUAGGUACUGGAGAGAGCAACAGAUCCCCUUUUGAGCCCGUAUUUUAAAACAAAACAACAGCAAUCCCUCUGCAAAACAGCCAAAAAUACUUGGGGGUACAGCUCAGCCACAGGGUGUGUGGUGGUUUGAAUGAGAAACGGCCCCGCAGUCUCAGGCGUUUGAACACUUGGUCCCCAGUUGGUGACACUGUGUGGAGGGUUAGCUGGUGCUGCCUGGCUCGGGGGAGGUCCGUCACUGGGGGCAGGUUUUGAGAGUAAAGACCCUCUCUCACUUCCAGCUGGCUUUCUCCGAUUCGCUCUUGUGGUUAGCGACAGAAGCUUUCUGCUUCCUGCUCUGGCCGCCAGGUCUGCCCUUCACUGCCAUACUUCACCGUCAUGAUGGACUCUUUUUUUUUUUUUAAAUUCAUCUAUUUUUUUUUUCCCCAU